rnacentral:rRNA from 1 species
GACGAACGCUGGCGGCGUGCUUAACACAUGCAAGUCGAACGGAAAGGCCCUGCUUUUGUGGGGUGCUCGAGUGUCGAACGGGUGAGUAACACGUGAGUAACCUGCCCUUGACUUUGGGAUAACUUCAGGAAACUGGGGCUAAUACCGGAUAGGAGCUCCUGCUGCAUGGUUGGGGUUGGAAAGUUUCGGCGGUAGGGGAUGGACUCGCGGCUUAUCAGCUUGUUGGUGGGGUAGUGGCUUACCAAGGCUUUGACGGGUAGCCGGCCUGAGAGGGUGACCGGACACAUUGGGACUGAGAUACGGCCCAGACUCCUACGGGAGGCAGCAGUGGGGAAUAUUGCACAAUGGGCGGAAGCCUGCUGCAGCAACGCCGCGUGCGGGAUGACGGCCUUCGGGUUGUAAACCGCUUUCGCCUGUGACGAAGAGUGAGUGACGGUAAUGGGUAAAGAAGCACCGGCUAACUACGUG